UACGUAGGGUGCAAGCGUUAAUCGGAAUUACUGGGCGUAAAGCGUGCGCAGGCGGUUAUGCAAGACAGAUGUGAAAUCCCCGGGCUCAACCUGGGAACUGCAUUUGUGACUGCACGGCUAGAGUGUGUCAGAGGGGGGUAGAAUUCCACGUGUAGCAGUGAAAUGCGUAGAUAUGUGGAGGAAUACCGAUGGCGAAGGCAGCCCCCUGGGCCAAUACUGACGCUCAGGCACGAAAGCGUGGGGAGCAAACAGG
rnacentral:rRNA from 1 species